AUGUCUGCUUUUCUAUCACUGUGGUGGACUUUCGGCAGCGGCACCAAACUGGAUGUUGGCAGCGUCACUCGUCCUAAAGUGAGCGUCCUGCCGCCCUCCAGUGCAGAGAUCUCCUCAAAGAAGACAGCGACACUGGUGUGUGUGGCCAGCAAGGGCUUCCCGUCAGACUGGAGCCUGAGCUGGAAGGUGGACGGGAGCAGCAGGUCUCAGGAGAGCAGCGCUGGGCUCCUGGAGAAGGACGGUCUGUACAGCUGGAGCAGCAGCCUGACUCUCUCUGAGCAGGAGUGGAUGGAGAGCGUCUCAGUGAGCUGUGAGGCCACACGGAGCGGCCAGCCUGCGCUCACUGGACACGUGACGAGACAGCAGUGUUCAGAGUAGAUCUGCUGCUCUUCUCACUCAUGUCUCACAUGGAGACUAACAGCACAUGAGCGACUCCUUCAUUCUCCACAUCCAGCUUCAGUCGCUCGCCUCUGCAUCUGCUCUGCUUUGUGUGCUUCAUACAAGACUAUAUGUGUGCUUUAUCAUUCUGUCUGGAUUUUAUUACAAUUCAGUCAAUAA